GUAGUCUCGCACAGAUGCAUAUCAAUAAGCGGAGGAAAAGAAACUAACAAGGAUUCCCCUAGUAACGGCGAGUGAAGCGGGAAGAGCUCAAAUUUGAAAUCUUAAAGGGUUUCCCUUUACGAAUUGUAGUUUAAAGAAGUGUUUUCUGUUGAGGUUUUGGUAAAAGUUCUUUGGAAUAGGACAUCAUAGAGGGUGAGAAUCCCGUAUUUGACCUUUACUUUCAACUUUGUGAUACACUUUCAAAGAGUCGGAUUGUUUGGGAAUGCAGUCCAAAAUGGGUGGUAAAUUUCAUCUAAAGCUAAAUAUUGGCGAGAGACCGAUAGCGAACAAGUACCGUGAGGGAAAGAUGAAAAGAACUUUGAAAAGAGAGUUAAACAGUACGUGAAAUUGUCAAAAGGGAAGCGUUUGACACCAGUGUUGUUUUUUCUGAAAAUCAAUUAAAGAACUGUUUAUGCUAAGCUGUUUAGACUUUAUCAGCUAAUCUGUUUAGUUUUGAGCUUUUCUUUAAUGCACUUUUCAGUUAACAAGUCAACAUCAAUUUCUUUUGCUGUAAAAAAGCUUGAGGAAGGUGGCUUGAGAUUCGUCUUAAGUGUUUAUAGCCUCUUGCCUAUGCAGUCGGAGAGAUUGAGGUCUGCAGCGUAGAUCCUUCGGGGCUAAAUGCAUUUGUGCUAAGUUAUAGCAUUUUAUAGACAACUUGUUGACUAUGAUUUGUCUUGUAGCUUACUCGCUUAUGUUAUUUUACCUACGCUUAGGAUGUUGAGUAGCGACAUACGCAC
rnacentral:rRNA from 1 species